rnacentral:rRNA from 1 species
UACGUAGGUGGCAAGCGUUGUCCGGAAUUAUUGGGCGUAAAGGGCGCGUAGGCGGCUUCGCGUGUCUUCCGUGAAAUCCCUCGGCUUAACUGAGGACGUGCGGAAGAAACUGUGAGGCUCGAGUCCGGGAGAGGGGGGUGGAAUUCCCAGUGUAGCGGUGAAAUGCGUAGAUAUUGGGAGGAACACCGGUGGCGAAGGCGGCCCCCUGGACCGGUACUGACGCUGAGGCGCGAAAGCGUGGGGAGCAAACGGG